rnacentral:lncRNA from 13 species
AUGGAUCACCUGAGGUCAGGAGUUCGAGGUCAGCCUGGACAACACGCCGUCCGGGUACUUCUAAUUCCUGAGACUUUUGGAAAUUCUGAGCCGACACAAGGUUUUCUUCUUGGCGGUCUUCACUGCAGGCUCAGGAUUCAGUUUUCUUGGUUCUACAAGAUGACAUUACGGGUGUUUUGGAGGAAGAACGAAGAGGUGAAGUGCCAUUUUCAUCUUAUACCAAGACUGCAGACCAGUAACAGGCCGUGUUAACCUUGAUCAGGUGACGGACACCGGCCAGAUUUCUCCACUGCGAAGUUACCUUCCCCCUUCCCACAUUGUCUUCUUUGGAAACCAGUCACUAUGCACUGCCCAUGCUAAAGAGCCGCAGCGCUCUGCUGCACCGCCAUGAUGGGGAAAUACCUGCGUAAACUAUGGAAAUUCUCUCCGUGUAAGAUUUGUGUUUCUCCCCUCUUUACGUAUUUAUUAAUCGUUUAU